GAUGAACGCUGGCUACAGGCUUAACACAUGCAAGUCGAGGGGAAACGACGGGGAAGCUUGCUUCCCCGGGCGUCGACCGGCGCACGGGUGAGUAACGCGUAUCCAACCUGCCUCUGACUGAGGGAUAACCCGUCGAAAGUCGGCCUAAUACCUCAUGGCAUCGUCUGCGGGCAUCCAACGACGAUUAAAGAUUUCAUCGGUCAGGGAUGGGGAUGCGUCUGAUUAGCUUGUUGGCGGGGUAACGGCCCACCAAGGCUACGAUCAGUAGGGGUUCUGAGAGGAAGGUCCCCCACAUUGGAACUGAGACACGGUCCAAACUCCUACGGGAGGCAGCAGUGAGGAAUAUUGGUCAAUGGGCGGGAGCCUGAACCAGCCAAGUAGCGUGCAGGAUGACGGCCCUAUGGGUUGUAAACUGCUUUUAGGCGGGGAUAAAGUGAGGGACGUGUCCUUCAUUGCAGGUACCGCAUGAAUAAGGACCGGCUAAUUCCGUG
rnacentral:rRNA from 1 species